CGGGAUGUAGCGCAGUCUGGUAGCGCACCUGCUUCGGGAGCAGGGGGCCGCUGGUUCAAAUCCAGUCAUCCCGACCA
rnacentral:tRNA from 2 species